rnacentral:rRNA from 1 species
GACGAACGCUGGCGGCGUGCUUAACACAUGCAAGUCGAACGGAAAGGCCAGUGCUUGCCCUGGUGCUCGAGUGGCGAACGGGUGAGUAACACGUGGGUGAUCUGCCUUGCACUCUGGGAUAAGCUUGGGAAACUGGGUCUAAUACCGGAUAGGAACCGUCUUUAGUGUGGUGGUUGGAAAGUUUUUUCGGUGCAAGAUGAGCUCGCGGCCUAUCAGCUUGUUGGUGGGGUAUUGGCCUACCAAGGCGUCGACGGGUAGCCGGCCUGAGAGGGUGUACGGCCACAUUGGGACUGAGAUACGGCCCAGACUCCUACGGGAGGCAGCAGUGGGGAAUAUUGCACAAUGGGCGGAAGCCUGAUGCAGCGACGCCGCGUGGGGGAUGACGGCCUUCGGGUUGUAAACUCCUUUCGACAGGGACGAAGCGUUAUGUGACGGUACCUGUAGAAGAAGCACCGGCUAACUACGUG